rnacentral:rRNA from 1 species
AUGGAGCUCGCGGAGGCCGCCUUCGCCAUGCGCGUGCUCCGCCACCUCGCCUGCGCUGGUGGCACGGCGGCCGCAUCGGGCGCCAACCUCGCAGUCUCCCCUCUCUCCAUCCACGCCGCGCUGGCGCUGCUCGGCGCGGGCGCCCGGGGCGCCACGCUCGACCAGGUCGUCGCCUUCCUCGGCCCCGCGCACGCCGCGCUCGCGUCCCACGUCGCGCUGCGCCUCCUCUCCGACAGCCCCGGCGACGACGGCGGGCCCAGCGUGCGCUUCGCCAACGGCGUGUGGGUCGACGCCGCCAUGCGCCUCAAGGUCGCCUACGCCGCCCUCGUCUCCCAGCACUACCGCGCCCAGGCGCUCCCGGCGUCCUUCAAGGACAUGCCAGAGGAGGCGAGAACCCAGAUCAACCGGUGGUUCGAGAGCUUGACGGCGGGCCGGAUCAAGGGCCUCCUGCCCCAGGGCUCCAUCAACGGCGCGACGCUGGCCGUGCUCGGGAACGCGCUCUACUUCAAGGGCGCCUGGUGCCGCAAGUUCGACCCCCGGCUCACCCUCGACGACACCUUCCACCUCCCCGCCGGCGGCAGCGUCCGCGCGCCCUUCAUGUCGAGCAGCGACCGCCAGCAGCACGUCGCCUGCCGCUCCGGCUACAAGGUGCUGAGGCUGCCGUACGCGCGCGGCCGCGAGCGGCGGUACUUCUCCAUGUACAUCUACCUCCCCGACGAGCGCGACGGACUGCAGAGCCUGCUGCACAGGCUGGGGUCCGACCCGGCGCUGCUGGAGAGCUCCACGACGCUGACGGCCCAGGUCCCGGUCGGCGCCUUCAAGGUGCCCAGGUUCACCAUCUCGUGCAAGACGGACGCGACCGAGCUGCUGCAGGACCUCGGCCUGCGCCUGCCGUUCGCGCCCCUCGCCGCCGACUUCUCCGAGAUGCUGGAUUCGGCGGCGCCGCUCGUCGUGUCGGCUGUCUUCCACCAGUCCUUCGUCGAGGUGAACGAGGAAGGGACGGAGGCGGCCGCGGCGAGUGCCGUUGUUGCGUCCUUUGGCGCCGCGGCGGUGAGGACGCCGGUUCAGGUUGUGGACUUCGUGGCCGACCACCCGUUCGUGUUCUUGAUCAAGGAGGAGCUCAGCGGCGUCGUGGUUUUCGCCGGGCAAGUGAUCAAUCCGUUGGUUCCAUGA